rnacentral:rRNA from 1 species
UACGAAGGGGGCUAGCGUUGCUCGGAUUGACUGGGCGUAAAGGGCGCGUAGGCGGUUCGUACAGUCAGACGUGAAAUUCCUGGGCUCAACCUGGGGGCUGCGUUUGAUACGUGCGGACUUGAGUGCGGAAGAGGGUCGUGGAAUUCCCAGUGUAGAGGUGAAAUUCGUAGAUAUUCGGAAGAACACCAGUGGCGAAGGCGACACACUGGCCCGUUACUGACGCUGAGGCGCGAAAGCGUGGGGAGCAAACAGG